AGAGGCUCACCAAGGCUGCGGCCCCAGCCGUCGCUUGGGUGACUUGCUGGCUGGAGUUGGGAUGGAGUCGGAGUGGGAUGCGCUGAGAGUGCUGGGAGCAGUUACCGCCCUGUGCCUGCUGCUGUGGGUGAUCUGGGGGGUGGGCAGCACGGUCUAUAUUUACCUGCUGCCCCAGGUGCGCCGGGGCAACGCCUGGCUCCGAUCGCACGGAGCCUGGGCAGUGGUGACAGGAGCCACUAGUGGCAUCGGCAAGGCCUAUGCACAUGAGCUCGCCCGCAGAGGUCUGAACAUCGUCCUUAUCAGCCGGGAUCUGAACAAGUUAGAGCGCGAGGCAAAGGAGAUAGAGCGGCUUCAUGGGAAAAGCACACGAGUCAUCCAGGUGGAUUUCACCGGGGGCUUGGAAAUCUACGAGGCCAUUGAGGCAGGACUGAAGGACCUGGAGAUCGGAGUACUGGUGAACAAUGUGGGCAGGUCGUACACACGUGACCUGAGGAAACUGCUGGACUGUGAGGACAUCGGCAAAAAAAUCUUGGAUGUUAUAAACUGCAACAUGCUAUCUGUGGCCCAGAUGACUCGAAUCGUCCUGCCCCAGAUGGUUGCCAGGGCCAAAGGCAUCAUCAUCAACAUAUCUUCAUCAGCUGACAGUCGUCCCUGUCCGUACUUAGCAAUGUAUGCAGCUUCCAAGGCCUUUGUGCGAAGCUUCUCGGCGGCAGUGGGCGCAGAGUACAGCUCCGAGGGGAUCGUGAUGCAGACAGUGAGCCCCUUAGUGGUUGAAACCAAUAUGACCUGGCCCUUGAAAAGCGGGCUGUUCGUAAUGAAGCCUGAAGACUUCGCUCGGCAGGCCCUGGACACGCUUGACCUCACCUCCCAAACCCCUGGAUGCCUCAACCACGCUGUGCAGGAAUACACCUGAAGACCCAUCUCCCCAGCAAGAGCGAGACCUCACCUUGGGAUCAAGCUUGAUCCCUUCAAGAACAGAAAGGAGGCUAUUACAGAGGUGCCUGCACUGAGCCUCCAGCAUGUCCUGGAUCACAGCUCGGGUUUUCCUCCCCUGGCGCUGGUUCCCGCUGCAGGUUCUUCUCAUGAACCUCUGCUCUGGACAUGAAGUGAGGAACGUGUACCCUCUGGACAGCUCACCUUGUCCUGGGCAAAGAGAGAUUCAGCAAUUCCUUGGAGAAGAACAGGAACCACAGCCCAGAGAGGGUCAGCUUCCUGCCUGGUGUCACACAGCCCUGGAACUCCAAGAGUCCCCAGCUUCAAACGUGAGUUCAACUGUGCGUGAGGUUCCAACCCCAGCCUCCAGGCUGACCCCUGAUGGCCUCCUCCUUCCGACUUCUCAGAAAAAAAAAAAAAAAAAGGCAGGCCAGGAAGCAUCCAUCAUGGGCUGUCCAGCUGGGCCGGAGGGGCAGAGGUCAGCGAGGAGGUGACCUCUAGAUCUCCGUGGGGACCAGGAUCCGGUGGGGCUGGGGGUGAGAGGCUGGAAUUUUUCCCACCCUGAGACUUUCCUGCGUCAACCCAGGAGGGCGCCCUGGAUGCCGCCAGCCCUGCCCCCAACCUCCUUCCUCCUGAGAUACAGCUUCCCGGCUAAGGAGGGGGGAGGGGGGCCAUGCCAAGGCAAGGCGGAGCCACCAGGCCCAGGGACGAGGCACUCUGGGACUGACAGAUGGCAGGACCCUGGCUCUGAGAGGCUAAGGGCCUGCCCUGCAGUCACGCAGCCUUGGGGACGUGGUGCGAACGGGGUGGCCCGCAGCGUCCACUGCCCUGCCCAAGAGUUGGACCCUGGCCCGGCCUUGGGUGUGUGAGAAGCCCUUGGCCCUGGGCCCUGCCCUCGGUCCUUCCUCCCCCCCAUACACUGGGGACUCAGCCCUUCCUUGUGUUAAAUAGAAACCUCUUUAUUCUAAGUAUCACACGUUCCUUAAUACACUGGAUGGAGGCCAGACCUUGAGGUGAGGGGAAA